CAGGGAUUGCCUCAGUAACGGCGAGUGAAGCGGCAACAGCUCAAAUUUGAAAGCUGGCUUCGGCCCGCGUUGUAAUUUGUAGAGGAUGCUUCGGGUGCGGCCCCGGUCUAAGUUCUUUGGAACAGGACGUCAUAGAGGGUGAGAAUCCCGUAUAUGGCUGGUGGCCUGUGCCUAUGUGAAGCUCCUUCGACGAGUCGAGUUGUUUGGGAAUGCAGCUCAAAAUGGGAGGUGUAUUUCUUCUAAAGCUAAAUAUUGGCCAGAGACCGAUAGCGCACAAGUAGAGUGAUCGAAAGAUGAAAAGCACUUUGGAAAGAGAGUUAAAUAGUACGUGAAAUUGUUGAAAGGGAAGCGCUUGCAAUCAGACUUGCGCGGCGUUGAUCAACCUGGGUUCUCCCGGGUGCACUCGGCGCCGCUCAGGCCAGCAUCAGUUUCGGCGGUGGGAUAAAGGCCUAGGGAACGUGAGUCGCUUCGGUGACUGUUAUAGCCCUGGGUGCCAUGCUGCCUGUCGGGACUGAGGACCGCGCUUCGGCUAGGAUGCUGGCGUAAUGGUUGUAAGCGACCCGU
rnacentral:sRNA from 1 species